rnacentral:rRNA from 1 species
UACGUAGGGUCCGAGCGUUGUCCGGAUUUAUUGGGCGUAAAGAGCUCGUAGGUGGUUCGGUAAGUCGGAUGUGAAAUCUCCAGGCUCAACCUGGAGGGGUCAUUCGAUACUGCCGUGACUAGAGGUCGGUAGGGGAGUGUGGAAUUCCUGGUGGAGCGGUGAAAUGCGCAGAUAUCAGGAGGAACACCCGUAGCGAAGGCGGCACUCUGGGCCGAUACUGACACUGAGGAGCGAAAGCGUGGGGAGCGAACAGG